GAUGAACGCUGGCGGCGUGCCUAAUACAUGCAAGUCGAGCGAACGGACGAGAAGCUUGCUUUUCUGAUGUUAGCGGCGGACGGGUGAGUAACACGUGGAUAACCUACCUAUAAGACUGGGAUAACUUCGGGAAACCGGAGCUAAUACCGGAUAAUAUUUUGAACCGCAUGGUUCAAAAGUGAAAGACGGUCUUGCUGUCACUUAUAGAUGGAUCCGCGCUGCAUUAGCUAGUUGGUAAGGUAACGGCUUACCAAGGCAACGAUGCAUAGCCGACCUGAGAGGGUGAUCGGCCACACUGGAACUGAGACACGCUCCAGACUCCUACGGGAGGCAGCAGUAGGGAAUCUGCCGCAAUGGGCGAGAGCCUGACGGAGCAACGCCGCGUGAGUGAUGAAGGUCUUCGGAUCGUAAUACUCUGUUAUUAGGUAAGAACAGAUGUGUAAGUAACUGUGCACAUCUUGACGGUACCUAAUCAGAAAGCCACGGCUAACUACGUG
rnacentral:rRNA from 1 species